rnacentral:rRNA from 1 species
UACGUAGGGGGCAAGCGUUAUCCGGAUUUAUUGGGCGUAAAGAGCUCGUAGGCGGCUGGUUACGUCGGUUGUGAAAGCUCAGGGCUCAACCCUGAGACGCCAAUCGAUACGGGUCGGCUAGAGGUAGGUAGGGGAAAGUGGAAUUCCUGGUGUAGCGGUGAAAUGCGCAGAUAUCAGGAGGAACACCGGUGGCGAAGGCGGCUUUCUGGGCCUUACCUGACGCUGAGGAGCGAAAGCUGGGGGAGCAAACAGG